rnacentral:piRNA from 1 species
UACAAAUAAAUCCUUAGUGUAUAUAUAUGUA